UUAAUUAUUUUCUGGGAUAAUUGGUUGUUAAUGUUUUUGCUCUUAGAUAAGCAGAAAAUAAUUAACAGUCUCUGGUUGGUUAUUCAUACUUAGGCACCAAACUGUGAACUUCUGAAUAAUUAAUCACUCUUUUCCAUUAAUGAGUAUCCCCUGUGGAACUGUGAGUAAAUAUGUAGCUAUUUGUAGAGACAUGAACAAGAAUCACUAGUUAUUUUUGUGUUUCCUACAGAAAAAGAAAAGUUGUUAAUUUGUGAUUUCUUCACUUUCAAUGAGUUCUGCUCAAAAAAUGCCCUGUUAUAGAACUUCUUCCCCACAGACCUACCUUCUUCUUGGGGCAGUCAGUGGUGCACAAGUUCUAUUAACCUGUUUUUUAAAGGUUCAUGACAAGAUGUUCUAUAUUGAAAUUCGAAAUAUGUUCCUCGGAAAAAAGCAUAGAAACUUCUGUGCUUGAGAUUCAAAGACAAAAGAAGAAAUUAAUUAUUGCAUAAAGGGCAUAACUCAUUUCUCUUUUGCCAUAGAAAAAAUAAGUCAGUUAUUAGAGACACUGUAAAUACAGUCACAAAAGCAAAAAAUGCAAUAUUAACAGUUCUCUGCAAUACACAUGUGGUUGAUGUGUUGUUGACCUGAUCAUACAAAAUUUAAGCUUCUCCUUGUAAUUAUUUGAAUUUUGUCCCUUGGCACACUGCUGAUGUGUAGCAUUUUAUGUAUCUGGUUGUUCACAGGUGUCCUACUACUCAGUGGUAAAAGAGGGAUACAGUGAAAAACUUAGUUUUAAAGUUUGUUUCUACCAAAGUUUGAGCUCUCUGAUCUUCAGCAAGUCUUCCUUUGAGAAAGUUGCUCAAUUUCUCUUCUUCAAUCUUUCAAUUGUACUUGGGGCUUAAAUAUUAAUGAACAUAUUCCCUCUGCUGUUCUUAGUGAACUCCUCAAAUAUUGCUGCAGCUACCAUGUAAACUUCAGAAUGGUACCCUUCUAUUUCUCCAGCAGUUAAUAUUAGUUUUCUUAAUUGUUUUCACAAAAUAGAUAAUAAUCACUUUCACAAAGUAGUUUAUGAUUGUUUUUGUUGCCUAGUAAACCUCAAAAGUGGCUGCAGUACCUAAAUAUAUCAUUCAAGCACUUUAAAAUCCUUUAUUGUGAAAAGUACAUAUUUACAUAAAGUGUAAUAGUAUCGUUACCUUAAUUUUGUAAUGUAACCUCCUUUUAAAAAGACAAAAUUUAAUGUCUUUGCAUUUCAUUGAAUGCAUUAUGGAAAACUUUUACUCUUGGGGGUAUGUUUGCAUCCUUGAAUUUGUCUUUCAACUGAGGACAGAAGUUAAUGUUUCACAUUUUUGCUAAAUAUUUGUAGGAAUAGUUGCAUGCUAAAACAAGUGUCACUGGCAGUCAUGCAAUUCAAGAAGUACAUUAUAACAGAGAUGGGUGAGUUUUUGUGAGCAAUACUAAUGCUGCACUGCUAGUGUUAGUCCUAUUAGAGGGUGGGACUUAGAUGCAGGAAAGUAUUUUUGUUAUUUGUAUCAGAUGUAAGGUAACUGUUUCAAGAAAAUCUGGUAACAGUUUUAGGAAACAGCACUUCUGUCAGGAGCCCAAACUGUAGUACAGAAGGAAAUACAUGACAGAAAUCAAUCUGUGCAGAAAUCUCAUUUAACUGUGCAUCGGAAAUAUUCUACUUUAUUUUUUUUCCCCUAGAUAAUUCCUUACUUUUCUAAGGGUGGAUAUGACUGCCCAAGGCCUACAGAAAGUCUAAAAAACUCUGUGCAAAGGUAACAUCUUCAGAAGUGGGUACAGAGUGGAUGCAGAAGCUCACGUGAAUGUGAUGACAGCUCACCUUUAAGUCUUUCAGUGGUAUUUCCAGGUAUUUUUGUAUUGCAUGUGACCAUAUGACUUCAAGGUCUGCUAAUACAGCCGUGAGGGAGCCACCAGGUCCUGUGUGGAGAUUCAGCUGCCCUCUUCUAAUAGGCCAAUGUAUAUUAUAAGAAUCUAGUGGAUUAACAUACAGUGCCUGAAAAUAGGAGACAGUGUCCUAUGGAUUGCUCUUCCUAAAAGAUUAGGUACAAGUACUUGAAAAAUAUUUCAGAAGCAGAUACAACAGACAUACAGCAGCACUCAGACUGAUAUGAAAACAACUAAGUGGAUUUAUUUUUAACAGGGUUGUAUUAUAAAGCAUUAAAAUAAAAAGACAUUAAAUAAAUGUUUUAAACUGUUUUAAUGUUCACA